rnacentral:rRNA from 1 species
CCUGAAACGGGUGCUAAUGCCGGAUAGGCAACUGGUAGGCAUCUACCGGUUGGGAAAGGUGCAACUGCACCGCAGGAUGGAGGAGCCCGCGGCGCAUUAGCUAGUUGGUGGGGUAACGGCCCACCAAGGCGACGAUGCGUAGCCGACCUGAGAGGGUGACCGGCCACACUGGGACUGAGACACGGCCCAGACUCCUACGGGAGGCAGCAGUAGGGAAUCUUCGGCAAUGGGCGAAAGCCUGACCGAGCAACGCCGCGUGAGCGAAGAAGGCCUUCGGGUUGUAAAGCUCAGUCACCCGGGAAGAGCGGGCAGGAGAGGGAAUGCUCCUGUCGAGACGGUACCGGGAGAGGAAGCCCCGGCUAACUACGUG